AACGAACGCUGGCGGCAUGCCUAACACAUGCAAGUCGAACGAAGGCUUCGGCCUUAGUGGCGAACGGGUGCGUAACGCGUGGGAAUCUGCCCUUUGGUUCGGAAUAACAGCUGGAAACGGCUGCUAAUACCGGAUGAUGACGAAAGUCCAAAGAUUUAUCGCCAGAGGAUGAGCCCGCGUUGGAUUAGGUAGUUGGUGGGGUAAAGGCCUACCAAGCCGACGAUCCAUAGCUGGUCUGAGAGGAUGAUCAGCCACACUGGGACUGAGACACGGCCCAGACUCCUACGGGAGGCAGCAGUGGGGAAUAUUGGACAAUGGGCGCAAGCCUGAUCCAGCAAUGCCGCGUGAGUGAUGAAGGCCCUAGGGUUGUAAAGCUCUUUUACCCGGGAAGAUAAUGACUGUACCGGGAGAAUAAGCCCCGGCUAACUCCGUG
rnacentral:rRNA from 1 species